rnacentral:rRNA from 1 species
AUUGAACGCUGGCGGCAUGCCUUACACAUGCAAGUCGAACGGUAACAGGUUAAGCUGACGAGUGGCGAACGGGUGAGUAAUACAUCGGAACGUGCCCAGUAGUGGGGGAUAGCCCGGCGAAAGCCGGAUUAAUACCGCAUACGACCUAAGGGUGAAAGGGGGGGAUCGCAAGACCUCUCGCUAUUGGAUCGGCCGAUGUCAGAUUAGCUAGUUGGUGGGGUAAAAGCUCACCAAGGCGACGAUCUGUAGCUGGUCUGAGAGGACGACCAGCCACACUGGGACUGAGACACGGCCCAGACUCCUACGGGAGGCAGCAGUGGGGAAUUUUGGACAAUGGGCGCAAGCCUGAUCCAGCCAUGCCGCGUGCGGGAAGAAGGCCUUCGGGUUGUAAACCGCUUUUAUCAGGGAAGAAAUCCUUUGGGUUAAUACCUCGGGGGGAUGACGGUACCUGAAGAAUAAGCACCGGCUAACUACGUG